AUUGAACGCUGGCGGCAUGCCUAACACAUGCAAGUCGAACGGUUUAUGGAGCUUGCUCCAUAGAUAGUGGCGGACGGGUGAGUAAUAUGUAGGAAUCUGCCUUGAGGAGGGGGAUAACUUGGGGAAACUCAAGCUAAUACCGCGUAAGUCGGAGACGAGAAAGCAGGGGACCGAAAGGCCUUGCGCCUUAAGAUGAGCCUACAUCGGAUUAGCUAGUUGGUGGGGUAACGGCCUACCAAGGCGAUGAUCCGUAGCUGGUCUGAGAGGAUGACCAGCCACACUGGGACUGAGAAACGGCCCAGACUCCUACGGGAGGCAGCAGUGGGGAAUAUUGGACAAUGGGGGAAACCCUGAUCCAGCAAUGCCGCGUGUGUGAAGAAGGCCUUCGGGUUGUAAAGCACUUUCAGUGGGGAAGAAGGAUGUAUGGUUAAUACCCAUGCAUUUUGACGUUAACCACAGAAGAAGCACCGGCUAACUCUGUGCCAGCCGCCGCGGUAA
rnacentral:rRNA from 1 species